UCCUACGGGGGGCAGCAGUGAGGAAUAUUGGUCAAUGGGCUUACGCCUGAACCAGCCAAGUCGCGUGAGGGAAGACUGCCCUAUGGGUUGUAAACCUCUUUUGUCAGGGAGCAAUUGGCGCUACGUGUAGCGUUAUCGAGAGUACCUGAAGAAAAAGCAUCGGCUAACUCCGUGCCAGCAGCCGCGGUAAUACGGAGGAUGCGAGCGUUAUCCGGAUUUAUUGGGUUUAAAGGGUGCGUAGGCGGAAUGCCAAGUCAGCGGUAAAAUCGCGGGGCUCAACCUCGGUCCGCCGUUGAAACUGGCGU
rnacentral:rRNA from 1 species